AUUGAACGCUGGCGGCAGGCCUAACACAUGCAAGUCGAACGAGUGGCGGACGGGUGAGUAAUGUCUGGGAAACUGCCCGAUGGAGGGGGAUAACUACUGGAAACGGUAGCUAAUACCGCAUACCAUCGGAUGUGCCCAGAGGGGAUAAGCAGUGAGGUGGGGUAACGGCUCACCUAGGCGACGAUCCCUAGCUGGUCUGAGAGGAUGACCAGCCACACGGGACCUGAGCCACGGUCCAAACUCCUACGGGAGGCAGCAGUGUUGAAUAUUGCACAAUGGGCGCAAGCCUGAUGCAGCCAUGCCGAGUGUAUGAAGAAGGCCUUCGGGUUGUAAAGUACUUUCAGCGAGGAGGCGUUACUCGCAGAAGAAGCACCGGCUAACUCCGUGCCAGCAGCCGCGGUAAUUC
rnacentral:rRNA from 1 species